AUGACGCGUCGUGCGUAGAAAAGCCGCCCGUCGCGACGGUCGUCAUCGCGUGGUUGA
rnacentral:sRNA from 1 species